AGUGAACGCUGGCGGCGUGCUUAACACAUGCAAGUCGAACGAGAACGGUCCUUCGGGACGUCAGCUAAGUGGCGCACGGGUGAGUAAAGUAUAGUUAAUCUGCCCCCCAGAGAGGGAUAACAACUAGAAAUGGUUGCUAAUACCUCAUACUCCUUUAUUAUUAAUUAGUAAAGGGAAACGAAUUUCGCUGGGGGAUGGGACUAUAUCCUAUCAGCUUGUUGGUGAGGUAAUGGCUCACCAAGGCUAUGACGGGUAGCUGGUCUUAGAGGAUGAUCAGCCACACUGGUACUGAGACACGGCCCAGACUCCUACGGGAGGCAGCAGUGGGGAAUAUUGGACAAUGGGCGCAAGCCUGAUCCAGCCAUGCCGCGUGUGUGAAGAAGGCCUUCGGGUUGUAAAGCACUUUAAGUGGGGAGGAAGGUCAGUAAGUUAAUACCUUGCUGAAUUGACGCUACCCACAGAAUAAGCACCGGCUAACUCUGUGCCAGCCGCCGCGGUAA
rnacentral:rRNA from 1 species